rnacentral:rRNA from 1 species
UUUUUAUACAAAAUACUUGUAUCUAUAGAACCAAGGCCCCUUCUAUUAUUUUGUAAACCCCGUCAGGACGAACGCUGGCGGCGUGCCUAAUACAUGCAAGUCGAGCGGACAGAAGGGAGCUUGCUCCCGGAUGUUAGCGGCGGACGGGUGAGUAACACGUGGGUAACCUGCCUGUAAGACUGGGAUAACUCCGGGAAACCGGAGCUAAUACCGGAUAGUUCCUUGAACCGCAUGGUUCAAGGAUGAAAGACGGUUUCGGCUGUCACUUACAGAUGGACCCGCGGCGCAUUAGCUAGUUGGUGGGGUAAUGGCUCACCAAGGCGACGAUGCGUAGCCGACCUGAGAGGGUGAUCGGCCACACUGGGACUGAGACACGGCCCAGACUCCUACGGGAGGCAGCAGUAGGGAAUCUUCCGCAAUGGACGAAAGUCUGACGGAGCAACGCCGCGUGAGUGAUGAAGGUUUUCGGAUCGUAAAGCUCUGUUGUUAGGGAAGAACAAGUGCGAGAGUAACUGCUCGCACCUUGACGGUACCUAACCAGAAAGCCACGGCUAACUACGUGCCAGCAGCCGCGGUAAUACGUAGGUGGCAAGCGUUGUCCGGAAUUAUUGGGCGUAAAGGGCUCGCAGGCGGUUUCUUAAGUCUGAUGUGAAAGCCCCCGGCUCAACCGGGGAGGGUCAUUGGAAACUGGGAAACUUGAGUGCAGAAGAGGAGAGUGGAAUUCCACGUGUAGCGGUGAAAUGCGUAGAGAUGUGGAGGAACACCAGUGGCGAAGGCGACUCUCUGGUCUGUAACUGACGCUGAGGAGCGAAAGCGUGGGGAGCGAACAGGAUUAGAUACCCUGGUAGUCCACGCCGUAAACGAUGAGUGCUAAGUGUUAGGGGGUUUCCGCCCCUUAGUGCUGCAGCUAACGCAUAAGCACUCCGCAGGGAGACGG